CGUGCCACGUGCCACAUUCGGUGGCAAUUGCAGCUGAGUUAUUGACGGCGUCUCGUAAUUGAUAAUAUUGAAUGCCGUGCAUUGCGCUCUGAAAUCCAUUAAAGCUUCAGCAGCAGCAC